rnacentral:rRNA from 1 species
UACGGAGGGGGCGAGCGUUGUCCGAAGUUACUGGGCGUAAAGAGCGCGCAGGCGGUCGGAUUAGUCGCGUGUGAAAGCCCCCGGCUCAACUGGGGAGGGUCACGCGAUACUGUUCGACUCGAAGGCAGGAGAGGGAAGUGGAAUUCCCGGUGUAGUGGUGAAAUGCGUAGAUAUCGGGAGGAACACCAGUGGCGAAGGCGACUUCCUGGCCUGUUCUUGACGCUGAGGCGCGAAAGCUAGGGUAGCAAACGGG